AGACUAUGAUGAGGACGCUGUCUUAAUAAACCUUUGAAUCUGUCCUAUACUUCAAAUAGUGAUUUUCCAUCUAUCUCAGUAAAAUUAAUGAUGUAAUUUCUCAUGUAC